rnacentral:lncRNA from 1 species
CUUUCUUUGUGUUCACUGACUACAUGAGAGGUGCCAUGAGAAUCUCGGCUCUGUCUGAAGCUGGUGUUAUCUAUGUUAUGACCCAUGAUUCUAUUGGUCUUGGAGAGGAUGGACCAACCCAUCAGCCCAUUGAGCACAUUGCAAGUUUCCGUGCAAUGCCCAACACUCUUAUGUUCCGUCCUGCUGAUGGCAACGAAACAGCUGGUGCAUACAAGAUCGCUGUCACCAAGCGUAAGACACCAUCUAUCCUAGCUCUGUCUAGGCAAAAGCUGCCUCAUCUUCCAGGUACAUCCAUUGAAGGAGUUGAAAAGGGAGGAUAUACAAUUUCGGACGACUCUGCAGGCAACAAACCCGAUGUGAUUUUGAUUGGAACUGGAUCUGAGCUAGAGAUUGCUGCACAGGCUGCGGAGGUGCUUAGGAAAGAAGGCAAAACCGUUAGAGUUGUAUCUUUCGUGUGCUGGGAGCUAUUUGACGAGCAAUCAGAUGAAUACAAGGAGAGUGUGUUGC